rnacentral:rRNA from 1 species
UACGUAGGGUCCGAGCGUUGUCCGGAGUUAUUGGGCGUAAAGCGCGCGCAGGCGGCGGUGCUGGCCCGGCGUGAAAGCCCCCGGCUCAACCGGGGAGGGUCGUCGGGGACCGCACCGCUUGAGGGCGGUAGGGGCUGGUGGAAUGCCUGGUGUAGUGGUGAAAUGCGUAGAGAUCAGGCGGAACACCCGUGGCGAAGGCGGCCAGCUGGGCCGUCCCUGACGCUGAGGCGCGAAGGCGUGGGGAGCGAACGGG